UACGAAGGGGGCUAGCGUUGCUCGGAAUCACUGGGCGUAAAGGGCGCGUAGGCGGUUCGUACAGUCAGACGUGAAAUUCCUGGGCUCAACCUGGGGGCUGCGUUUGAUACGUGCGGGCUUGAGUUCGGAAGAGGGUCGUGGAAUUCCCAGUGUAGAGGUGAAAUUCGUAGAUAUUGGGAAGAACACCGGUGGCGAAGGCGGCGACCUGGUCCGAUACUGACGCUGAGGCGCGAAAGCGUGGGGAGCAAACAGG
rnacentral:rRNA from 1 species